CCUGAAUAAGCGAGAAACUCGGGUUAGUGAGAAACCUCUAUGAGCGAGAAUGUAAUCGUGUUCCCUUGAACUCUAGCUUAUCCAGGUUCGGGGCAUACAA